rnacentral:lncRNA from 1 species
GAAAUCUGAAAGGGGAGGUGUGAGGAAGCAUCCUUAAGCGGGAAUGGGGUGCCUUCCCAAGACAGCGAAUUUGGAAUGUGGGGAUCUCUACAAGGGGAGGGAGCGCAGGGCCCCGAAAUGUCUGAAUGGACAAUCAAAGGAAUCUGAGAAGGUGGGAAACACAAGAGACUGCCUGAAAAGGAAAACCGUUGGCCCCGCGGGGCCAGCGGUGAAGGCUGGCCUCCGUGCAUCUCUUGAGAAGGAUCGUGAACAGGGAGGGUUCUACCCGCGGGUGGGAAGAGGCGAGCACCCAGGAGCUUCUGUGCUUCCAAGCUGGGGUGGGGGGUAACCUAUAGGACAGCCGAGUGAGUGUCCCCUCCCCAACCCAGAACAAGUUUUAAUCUCUUAAUCUUCCUCAUUAAUCACUCACCCUCCUACCCCUCUCUGUGGAUCCGAUUUCGCCCCAGCUCGAGUUCCAGUACUGAGAAAAGUCCCCUUCUGUGGCCCCACGAUCCCCUGGACUAGUCCCUGGCCGCUUUGACGACCUUAGAGGGGCCUCUGCUGUCCUGGGCCUCCUCCCUUUGCUACUCUCCACUUCCAUCUCCUCCCCCAAACUCAUGUUUAGGAGCUGUCCAAUCCCAGUACCUGAGCCCAGCUGCAGAGGGGAGAACUAGGCGGGAGAGAUGGAAGGGGCUGUGAGGCACAGGCCCAUCAGCAGAGCUCCACACUCCUCACAGACACACGUAAGUAAUUGAGAGCAGAGGUAGAGACAGACACAAAAGCCACAUAGAGGAUGCAUGAGUGAAGGUUGCAGCAUCUGCUUGGUGAUAUGCCUGGGAUGCAGUGGGGCAGUUCCUGCUGCCUCCAGAGAGCUGCUUUAUUGCACAUUAAGUGAAACCACUAGGAUGGUUUCCAGGGCUGAGGCCUGUAGCCCGAAGAUCUCUCCAGGCCCUCCCCUGCCCCUCACCAUUAAUAACCAUUUAACAAC